GAUGAACGCUGGCGGCGUGCCUAAUACACGCAAGUCGAGCGAACGGACGAGAAGCUUGCUUCUCUGAUGUUAGCGGCGGACGGGUGAGUAACACGUGGAUAACCUACCAUAAGACUGGGAUAACUUCGGGAAACCGGAGCUAAUACCGGAUAAUAUUUUGAACCGCAUGGUUCAAAAGUGAAAGACGGUCUUGCUGUCACUUAUAGAUGGAUCCGCGCUGCAUUAGCUAGUUGGUAAGGUAACGGCUUACCAAGGCAACGAUGCAUAGCCGACCUGAGAGGGUGAUCGGCCACACUGGAACUGAGACACGGUCCAGACUCCUACGGGAGGCAGCAGUAGGGAAUCUUCCGCAAUGGGCGAAAGCCUGACGGAGCAACGCCGCGUGAGUGAUGAAGGUCUUCGGAUCGUAAAACUCUGUUAUUAGGGAAGAACAUAUGUGUAAGUAACUGUGCACAUCUUGACGGUACCUAAUCAGAAAGCCACGGCUAACUACGUG
rnacentral:rRNA from 1 species